GCUCGCCGCUUGCGUCCCCCGAGAAGGCCUUCCGGUUGUAAAGCACUUUCAGUGCGUGAGGAAGGUAGUGUAGUUAAUAGCUGCAUUAUUUGACGUUAGCGACAGAAGAAGCACCGGCUAACUCCGUGCCAGCAGCCGCGGUAAUACGGAGGGUGCGAGCGUUAAUCGGAAUUACUGGGCGUAAAGCGCAUGCAGGUGGUUUGUUAAGUCAGAUGUGAAAGCCCGGGGCUCAACCUCGGAAUAGCAUUUGAAACUGGCAGACUAGAGUACUGUAGAGGGGGGUAGAAUUUCAGGUGUAGCGGUGAAAUGCGUAGAGAUCUGAAGGAAUACCGGUGGCGAAGGCGGCCCCUGGACAGAUCUGACCUCAGAUGCGAAAGCGUGGGGAGCAAACAGGAUUAGAUACCCUGGUAGUCCACGCCGUAAACGAUGUCUACUUGGAGGUUGUGGCCUUGAGCCGUGGCUUUCGGAGCUAACGCGUUAAGUAGACCGCCUGGGGAGUACGGUCGCAAGAUUAAAACUCAAAUGAAUUGACGGGGGCCCGCACAAGCGGUGGAGCAUGUGGUUUAAUUAUGCAACGCGAAGAACCUUACCUACUCUUGACAUCCAGAGAACUUUCCAGAGAUGGAUUGGUGCCU
rnacentral:rRNA from 1 species